AUUGAACGCUGGCGGCAGGCCUAAUACAUGCAAGUCGAACGGUAACAGGAAGCAGCUUGCUGCUUCGCUGACGAGUGGCGGACGGGUGAGUAAUGUCUGGGAAGCUGCCUGAUGGAGGGGGAUAACUACUGGAAACGGUAGCUAAUACCGCAUAAUGUCGCAAGACCAAAGAGGGGGACCUUCGGGCCUCUUGCCAUCGGAUGUGCCCAGAUGGGAUUAGCUUGUUGGUGGGGUAACGGCUCACCAAGGCGACGAUCCCUAGCUGGUCUGAGAGGAUGACCAGCCACACUGGAACUGAGACACGGUCCAGACUCCUACGGGAGGCAGCAGUGGGGAAUAUUGCACAAUGGGCGCAAGCCUGAUGCAGCCAUGCCGCGUGUAUGAAGAAGGCCUUCGGGUUGUAAAGUACUUUCAGCGGGGAGGAAGGGAGUAAAGUUAAUACCUUUGCUCAUUGACGUUACCCGCAGAAGAAGCACCGGCUAACUCCGUG
rnacentral:rRNA from 1 species